rnacentral:rRNA from 1 species
AACAAACGCUGGCGGCGUGUCUUAAGCAUGCAAGUUGAGCGGCAAGGGGGAGCGAUCCCCCCUAGAGCGGCGGACUGGUGAGUAACACGUGGAUGAUCUACCCGAGGCAUGGGGAUAGUCACUAGAAAUAGUGGGUAAUACCGAAUACGGUGCGCAUCGUGAGGGUGCGCAAGAAAGGUGCUACGGCACCGGCCUAGGAUGAGUCUGCGUCCCAUUAGCUGGUUGGUGAGGUAAGAGCCCACCAAGGCGAUGAUGGGUAGCCGGCCUGAGAGGGUGUACGGCCACACUGGGACUGAGAUACGGCCCAGACUCCUACGGGAGGCAGCAGCUAAGAAUAUUCCGCAAUGGACGAAAGUCUGACGGAGCGACGCCGCGUGGAUGAAGAAGGCCGAAAGGUUGUAAAGUUCUUUUGUUGGGGAAGAAUAACCACGGGAGGGAAUGCCCGUGGGAUGACAUG